GCAGGGGAGCAGCCUGGCGGCUGUGCGCAGGGCCUGGCUGGAGCCGGGCUGCUUUAGGGCGGAGGUGCCUCAGCGAGCUCUCCGCAGGAGGGGCCGGAGCAGGAUCUUCUGACAAGCUUGAAACUAAGGUGAGGAGACUAGAGCAGACUGGUCACCAAGUCGGCUUCUCUGCGAUACAGGGCAGGGAUGCGCUCUUAGAUGUCUUUGAAGCUUGAUGGGAAGAUGCUGCAUGAGAUGAAAAGCCUUGUCCUCGAGGAGCCAAAGUGUUGGCUGGAUGUUAUCUCUGUUUGGAGAAAGCUUCAUGGGCGUGAGGGGAAAAAAGACAAUGUCUCUCAAGAAAACCCAUCGCUUCUCAAGAGCAAAUCAGAAGAAGAGACAAAUAUUGCAAGCGACAGGCAGAAACCCAAACAAGUGAGAGAGACCGUGUCUGAGCAACGUCAGGCGGAAGCUGGAGAGAGGUGUGUGGUACUAGAGAGGCAGAGAUCAUGUUCCUGCCACCCUCUUCCUCGCGUGCAGACUCUCACCGGACUUUCCCUUUAUUUUCUUCAGACUAGGCAGCCCCCAGCGCUUCAGGCCCGGGGGUGGCUGUGGGGCCACCGGCCCUGCAGCAGAGAUGCUCGCCUGUGGGGGGGAGCUGCUGGCUCCCAGUGUUGUCCCAGCAGUUGGGUUCUUUACCCGGUGUGCAAGAGGCCGAUACACACACAGAGUCGAGUUUAUUUCAUGUUUGCGCAGAGAUGGGUGCUAGGUGGUAACUCCACAAGGCUAGCACCCCUCGGUAA